rnacentral:rRNA from 1 species
GACGGGGGGGGCAAGUGUUCUUCGGAAUGACUGGGCGUAAAGGGCACGUAGGCGGUGAAUCGGGUUGAAAGUGAAAGUCGCCAAAAAGUGGCGGAAUGCUCUCGAAACCAAUUCACUUGAGUGAGACAGAGGAGAGUGGAAUUUCGUGUGUAGGGGUGAAAUCCGUAAAUAUACGAAGGAACGCCAAAAGCGAAGGACAGCUCUCUGGGUCCCUAC